CUAUGCCGGUGUUCGACGCUCAUUUGCGAGUACGCACUUCAAACCCGUUCAUUCAUAAAUUGGAAUACGCUGGUGACUGACCUGGGAGCGCUGAGACGCCGUUCCUCCUGGAGGUAUUUCGUUUGGCUCGUAGCCAGGAUUACCUUUUAUCAGAGGACUUUGGGCAUUCAUCAAUUCAUCACUCCAUCACUUGAUCACGCUCACGGACGAUACAAACACCCGGACCAGGAACGUGCAGAAGAAAUGGUCAGGCUCAUGAGGUGGUGGUGGUGAAGUUGGAGGACCUAACCAACUUCUGAAAUGGUGAAAGCUUGCAAAGCCAGAAUGGGGGAGGGUCUCAAACAACUAGUGCAGAUGCAGCUCUAAAAACAAAAAGAUCAAAUUGCUGAAUACAUGUGCCAUGACUCGGAACCUGCGAAGAGGUUUUACGAAGUCAGUUCAACGGUCUCCGAAGUCAAUAGGAUUAGAAAACUACAGCGGUUGAGCCUUGAACAAGGUUGAACCGCCCGCACGGAAUCUGAAGAACCUGAAGGGGGAGGACAACAUCCGUCUACCUCCAAGAAAGAAGCUGGCACAGUGAGGGAGGAGGAGUGAGAUGGGGACAUUUUUGGCAAUUACAGUUUGGACAUUCUUGCCCUGAGGUUCUAAAGACAAAAACGGACUCCAUGAAAUGGUAUAGCCUGCUGUCUAACACAAACACUGAAUAAAAUAUAUGAAUCUUAGAAAUUCUCAUGUCAUUAAUGAUCUUACUCAUUUUCUCCUUUUACUCCAUGGAGACUGUUAACAGACUGAAAUGCAGGGAAUCAAGCCAGUACACCCUUAAACACUUGUCUAACAUCUAUCCUAUGUUGUUAGAAUUUAAUUUAUGAAGUAAUAUUAGCCAGCAAUACUAUUGAGAUGUUCCUGCUGCAAUAAAAUCAUGUUCCUUGGAUUUGUUUUAUAAAGUGUAUUGUUGACCUUAAUUUAGUGGAUUAUAACAAAAAUUAAAAGAACAUAAUCAGACACAUCAAAUAAUGGUUUUCAUGUAGAUUUCUGUCUCUUCAAUUCAUUCUUACAGUGCACAACUUGUUGCACAUUUUAUCAUUGCCCCUUGUGCCCUUCACUGAAGCCAAUGACUCAAAAGAAGAUUCAAAAUCAUUGGGAAGGCCAUGUAAAAAAAGGCAUUCAUUUUCAAAGCUCAACUACGUACUGGACAUAGAGAGACCAGGGAAUGAGCUGAUUGUCCGAACAGCAAAGACAGGCCUUGAUUUACAGUCCGCAUUGUACAUGGUGCUGGAUGCCCCAUUUGACUACACAAUUGCUUCUCUCCCUUUAGAAAGGGUCUUGGGACCUGCUGGGCACCCUGGCUCUCCAGCACCUGGAUCCGGCUCCGUAGGGUCGUCACCAGCGCCCGCAAGUCAAUGACCCUACAGACAAGCCUGCUAACCCUCACACGCCUCCUAUAUUCUUUCCCCUCUUCUCCAUCAUCCUGCUCCUGUGUCUCCUCUUCUAGAGGAGGAGGGGGUGACGGAGGGAGCUACCAUGGGGGGAUCUGGGUUGGAUGUUCGCAGCUCCUCCAGCUUAUCCACCACCACCCUCCUCUUGAUCCUGAACAUUUCUUCUCCUCCUUCUUCUUGGUCCUACAGAAUAUAUAGAAAUGCUUAUUUGACCAAUUUAUGUUAUUGUAAAUGAGGUUAAGCUCAUUGUUUUGUUUGCAUCUCUUUUUUUAUACAAUACUAAUUCAAUUCACACUCCACAAUAAAUAGAAUUUACAUCUUGUUUCGUGAACAUGUUUUCAAUUACGGAGUUCAAUGUAAUUGUCAUAUUUGUUCUGGUGUUUAAAGAUUUUAGAGAAAAUAAUUAAUAAAUGUUUGCCUGGGUUGUGAUAAUAUUGUAUUGUAUUGUAUUGUAUUGUAUUGUAAACACCUUCAUUGUUUUGAAGUGGAGGUUGCUCAACAAUAACAUCACAAAUAUUUCAAUCAAAUGAGUCUGGAAGUUACUGCUCAUACCUAGAUUGAUGGCCACCUUCUGAUGUUUGUGAUCCUCUUUUUGUUCAUUAUUGCACCUCCACUAAAUUAAUGCAAACAAUACACUUUAUAAAAAACAUAACUGCAAAUCUUAUAAAAAAACAAGGAACAAGACUUUAUUGAUUAAAACAUGAUCUUCAGGAUAGCUGUAGCAACCGUGAUGGUGGAUGAAUAUAAAGAAAUACUUUGACCAGUUUCUUUUAUUAUAGUUAAAGUGUAUUGUUUGUGUUAAUAAAGUCAUAUUCCUUGUUUUUAAUUUUGUUUUGCAGUUAUGUUUUUAUAGUUAACAAGUUGUAGUUUUUUUGUGUUAAUCAAUAAAGUCAUAUUGAUUUCCAACUA